GGGCGUGUAGUUCAGUGGUAGAGCGCUUGCCUAGCACGCACGAGGCCCUGGGUUCCAUCCCUGGCACCACCA
rnacentral:tRNA from 1 species